rnacentral:rRNA from 1 species
AUUGAACGCUGGCGGCAGGCCUAACACAUGCAAGUCGAACGCGUGGCGGACGGGUGAGUACUGUCUGGGACACUGCUUGAGGGAGGGGGAUAACUAAUGGAAACUGUAGCUAAUACCGACCUUCAUCAGAUGUGCCCAGAUGGGAUUAGCUUGUUGGUGGGGUAACGGCUCACCAAGGCGACGCGCCCUAGCUGGUCUGAGAGGAUGACCAGCCACACUGGAACUGAGAAACGGUCCAGACUCCUACGGGAGGCAGCAGUGGGGAAUAUUGCACAAUGGGCGCAAGCCGGAUGCAGCCAUGCCGCGUGUAUGAAGAAGGCCUUCGGGUUGGAAAGUACUUUCAGCGGGGAGGCGUUACCCGCAGAAGAAGCACCGGCUAACUCCGUGCCAGCAGCCGCGGUAAUUC